ACUAUGUAUCUAGAAAAGCUA
rnacentral:miRNA from 1 species